AGGGAGCUGAAGAAUUCCUUCUCUACCUGCUUCUGAAGGGCUUUGGAGCAUUAUCAAGACAUCAGCAGACUUAAAUGAGUCUGUGCUGGCUGGAGGAGAGGAGGGAGGGGGGGGAGGAAAGGGAGGGUGAAGAGACAGUGUGGAAGAGAGAGAGAGAAGAGUGUGCGUGGGAGAGGGAGGGGCCUCGCUGCAGCUAUGCAAAGAGCACAUUGGGAUUUCCCGUGGAUCAUGCAUCGGAUUGGACGUGUGACUCCUUUGCUGGAUAGUGAACUGUGUUAGUUCCCCGUGUAAGUCCCUCUGUACCUAUAGAUUACGAGACCAGUUGUUAGGGAUAUAGGGAGGACAAUUGAUACCCUCCCCCCCCCACACACACACACACACCCUCCCAAAUGCCACAACGCCGUUUCAACCUGUUCCCCCCUGCCGGACUAAUCCCUCAUGUGAGAGGUUUCCAGAUGAUCCUAAAUGCAGAUUUUGUUCUCUUGGACGUUUGCCAGGAUUUGAAUUUUUCCACUCAUGAGUGGACAAUAGUGACAUCGCUUAAUCACUUAAGAUAGAGAAAAUAAAAAAAAGAGGAUAUCUUUUUUCAUUCAUAGGAUUAAUUAAGUGUGUGUGUGUGUGAAAGAAAGAAAGAAGGUGAACAAAAGACGUCGUUUUUAAACGCACCAUGCUUCAGUCCAAUCAUAACAUGUGACGGAUGUGAUUGUCUGAAUGUUACACUGUUCCCCCAGACAGCAGAGCGAGUCCUGCCAAUAGGCCACUACUGCACCUCCAGCUUCUAAUAUCCUUUCCACCACCGUAAAGCUUCUUUUAGAGCAGCGCAUACAUCUCCAAAUAUCAUCAUCUCGUCCUAUAGGGACCACGAGGGUAACGAAAGAAAUGCAAUAAAGAAAAAUGCUUCAGAUUCAGCGAUGCAGAGAUGUGGUCAUAUUUGGAGUUACACUGAAAAUUGUAUUCUUCAGCAGCAGGGAGAGUUAAAUCUUUUUAUUUCUAGAAGUGGGGGGGUUUCAAUCGGCUGUCAGUGAUCGUCUGUUUAUUAGUCUCCUCUGGCCUGUCUUGGGGGGGUGCAGGGAGGUCGCUGCACCGUCUGGGGCCUUCGUUUGGGGCCCUUUGCAGUGCUGUGCAGCGCUCCACGGAGACGUGCGUUCAAAAGCAUUGUCUGCCGUCUGAAUGAGGCUUUCGGGGGCAAAAAAGAGAAAGAAAAAAAAAAUCCUCAGCAGGAAAAUACCACAAUGUGUUGAACAGCAGCUCACACUCCACUGGGAUGUUUUGGGAAUAUGUUUGGAUUGUUAUUUGGUCCUCAUGUAUUCUCUAACUGCUAACUACCCACAGGGCACCGGGGCCCCCUCGUUGAGCGCGGGGAAACAGGCAUGAAAUUGACAUUACGCCCUUAAAUGCGACGCAGAUUUGCAGCACACGCUCCUUCUCUCUCCCCUUAACAAGCAGCUCUCUAUUGAAGUUGUUCUUCACAAGCAUCUUCUAAACAUUGUUUCUUUUUAUCCAAUCGGGGGAAAAAAAUACUUUUCGCAGGCCGCCUGUAAGGCGGACUAUUGUUCUCGUGGUCAAGCGCUCCGGGGAGAGGCAACAUUUUAUACAAAUCAAUAGCGUUCAAAUAAUUCAUGACUGAUCACAUGGUGUUUUAGCUCCUUACUUGCAGUAGAAAAAACGUGUUUUGUUUGGCUCCCAGAGGGCAACAUGAAAGACCCGGGGAGAGGCGGGGAGAAUUGGGAACUGAAGGCAGCGUGCGAGGAUAAUGGGGGGACAUUGAUCAUUUGGUGCAGGAGAAGGCAACCGAAACCUGCGAGUCAAAGCUAACAAGACGUAUCAUUUAUACAUCAUUUUCAACACGUCUGGAGCUCCUUGUGCGCGUCGCGUUGCAUCAGGUUUGCAUCAUGGUCCUCGGAGAGAAGGGGGGGGGGGGGUCGGCCGCGGCGAUCCCGAAAACCAAUGCAAAGAAAACUGCUAUUUGUGUAAUUGUGUCAUUUUUUUUUUUAUUGUUCUGGUUCAUACAAAACAACAGCCAGCGAAGCGGCGUUUGAUGGCGAUUCCCUGUUGGACCGUUGUCCAUUUGAAAUGACUCCUGUGCUUUGUGGGGGAAAACAAAUCCCAGUUCGGGCAGUGUUAGUCAGUCACAGCACGUCAUCGAAAUUAAUUUAGUAAAUGUGGAGAUGGAUCAAGUUCCCUUUUGGCAAGAGAAGCCAUCCCACCGACAUGUUAACAACGUCUUCAGAGACCAAUGAGGCCCAUUUACAAUAAGUGUCUGUUUUAAGUCGCUUGCUGAGUGUAGUGUGUGUGUGUGUGUGUGUGUGUGUGUGUGUGUGUGUGUGUGUGUGUGUGUGUCCUUUACAUGAUCGGGAUCAAGAGGUGAGAUUAAAUGCCACCCAAUCACAGGAACAUGACUGCAGUUGCAGAAAUAGCUUACCUGCACCAAAGGACCCUUUUGCCAAGUCCCGCCCUUGAACACAGAGUGGCCAAUCGCAGCGUAGCACCGGUCUGCUCCAUAGACUAUCAUGCAAUGGUUUCAGAUUGUCCUCAUUUUCAGGCUGGGUUUCUGGAUGUGGAAGUCAUUAAUAGUGAGACUCUUCACUCAAAUAGUUUAAGCAGAUAUAGGUUCCCACCUACAAACCUGUGAAGCUUACAUUAGGUAAGUACAUUUCAUUUUUGUAACACUAAAUAAAGACCUAAUCUACUUUUUAUGGACAGUGGUGUUCCUUAGUUGUAUUGUCUUCUGUCUCGAUCACCAGAUGAGUUGUCCUUUUACACUGAGAUCAGUAGGUUUAAGCCACUAUCAUAAACCUGUUUCCUCUUCAGAAUAAGUCUGACCUCCUGAAUAUAACCAUCAGAUGCAUAUUGCAGACCCUUGUGUGUCUUGGUUAUCAAAUGUGAUCAUUUUUAUGCAGGUAGUGCAGUGAGUGACAGUGUCGACUCAAUUUCAUGCUACUUUUAAUUACUUAAAGUAAAGUAAAGCCUGAUGCACACUCCAAAAUUGCAGCUCUGUCAAUUUGACCAAAUAGCGCAAGGCAUCCAGGCUUAGAAGGGUCAAUUCUCUUGAGGAACUUCAUGAACUGGUGUCUUAGGCUCUGCUCUCUCCCUUCUCUCGUCCUACCUCGACGGCCGCACCUCCCGGGUAACCUGGCGAGGAUCUGUGUCGGAACCUUGUCCUCUUACUACUGGAGUUCCUCAGGGGUCCGUCCUGGGUCCCCUCCUCUUCUCGCUCUACACCAACUCUCUCUGAGCUGUCAUUCGUUCGCAUGGCUUCUCUUACCACAGCUAUGCCGAUGACACCCAACUAAUUCUCUCCUUCCCUCACUCGGACACUCAGGUGGCGGCACGGAUCUCUGCCUGUCUGACUGACAUCUCUCAGUGGAUGUCCGCCCACCAUCUGAAAAUCAACCCCGACAAGACUGAAAUACUAUUUCUGGGAAAAGAUUCUCCGACCCAGGACCUGACGGUCAACUUUGCCAACUUCGUGUUAACGCCCACUUUGACUGCUAGGAACCUCAACGUGACACUCGACAGCCAACUUUCCUUGACUCCCAACAUCACUGCGACAACACGAUCCUGUAGAUAUAUGCUGUACAACAUCAGGAGAAUACGUCCCCUUCUCACUCAGAAGGCAGCGCAGGUACUGAUUCAGGCUCUUGUCAUCUCCCGCCUGGACU
ensembl:lncRNA